rnacentral:rRNA from 1 species
CCUACGGGAGGCAGCAGUGGGGGAUAUUGCACAAUGGGGGGAACCCUGAUGCAGCGACGCCGCGUGGGUGAAGGAGCGUUUCGGCGCGUAAAGCCCUAUCGGCAGGGAAGAAGGAGGACGGUACCUGACUAAGAAGCCCCGGCUAACUACGUGCCAGCAGCCGCGGUAAUACGUAGGGGGCAAGCGUUAUCCGGAUUUACUGGGUGUAAAGGGGGCGCAGACGGCAGCGCAAGCCAGGAGUGAAAGCCCGGGGCCCAACCCCGGGACUGCUCUUGGAACUGCGCGGCUGGAGUGCAGGAGGGGCAGGCGGAAUUCCUGGUGUAGCGGUGAAAGGCUUAGAGAUCAUACAGAACACCGAUUGCGAAGGCAGCUUACCAAGCUACUUCUGACGUUGAGGCACGAAAGCGUGGGGAGCGAACAGGAUUAGAUACCCUUGUAGUC